rnacentral:sRNA from 1 species
CUGACUUGGGUAUAGGGG